UGUCCUCUUUGUUUCAAAGUUAAACUAUGAGUAAGUUCCUCUCAAAGUUAGUUUGGCCUACACCCAAGAAUGAACAAGGACAGGUUAGACUCUAAUCUAGAAAUCUAGAAGCAAGAUGGAGUUGGUUAGGGCAGAUUUUUUUUUUUUUUUGAGACAUAGUUUCGCUCUGUCAUCCAGGCUGGAGUGCAGCGGCGCGAACUCUGGCUCACUGCAAGCCCCGCCUCCCAGGUUCGCGCCAUUUUCCUGCCUCAGCCUCCUGAGUAGCUGGGUCUACAGGCGCCCGCCAUCACGCCCGGCUAAUUUUUUGUGCUUUUAAUAGAGAUGGGGUUUCACCGUGUUAGCCAGGAUGGUCUUGAUCUCCUGACCUCAUGAUCCGCCCUCCUCGGCCUCCCAAAGUGCUGGGAUUACAGGUGUGAGUCACCGCGCUCGGCCAGGGCAAAUCUCUUUAACUAUUAUAAUUUUCUCAGUUAUAAUCUUGCCAUGGUGGUUUCAAAAGGUGACUGGAAGAAAGCGGAAGGAAUGCUUGCCUCAUCUUGCAGACAUCAGGUGCAUUCCUGAGAAGCUACAGGUGCACAACCUUAGUCAGGCUCUGGGGAUACAGAAGUAACAAGAAGACCAGACCCUUGUUCCAAUGGAGGAGACAUCCUGGGACAUUGUCUAAAAACCAACCUGCUCCAAAUCUUAUCUCAGGCUCUGCUUUCAAAAGAACUCAAACCAGUUGGAAGUACCCCAAAGGAAUAUCUAUCUACCCAUCUGUCCUGCCACAAAACAGAUCAUUCUCAACAGCAGUGGAAAUAGAAUCAGCUCCAUUGCCUGGGAAUCAUUCUUGUCAGGAGUGCUUUCGUUCUAACCUAGGUAAAGAUCUGCAGUACAAGUAUUAUCAUGUCAUUUCACUAAUGGACAAGUACAAGUUUGGAUACAAGAUGAAUAAUGAAAUCUACUUGGUUUCAAUGAGGUUGUCACUGGAAAUGUGACGUGGAACUCUCUACCUUCUGACAGCCUGUACUAGUGCUGGACAGCUCUAAUUUUUGGCAAUCUCAUUCUUCUAUUGAUCUGAAGUCUGUCUCCCUUCUAUAUCAG
rnacentral:lncRNA from 1 species